rnacentral:rRNA from 1 species
GACGAACGCUGGCGGCGUGCUUAACACAUGCAAGUCGAACGGAAAGGCCCCUUUGGGGGUACUCGAGUGGCGAACGGGUGAGUAACACGUGAGUAACCUGCCCUUGACUUCGGGAUAACUUCAGGAAACUGGGGCUAAUACCGGAUAGGAAUCCUUGCUGCAUGGUGGGGGUUGGAAAGCUUGGGCGGUUUUGGAUGGACUCGCGGCUUAUCAGCUUGUUGGUGGGGUAGUGGCUUACCAAGGCUUUGACGGGUAGCCGGCCUGAGAGGGCGACCGGCCACAUUGGGACUGAGAUACGGCCCAGACUCCUACGGGAGGCAGCAGUGGGGAAUAUUGCACAAGGGGCGGAAGCCUGAUGCAGCAACGCCGCGUGCGGGAUGACGGCCUUCGGGUUGUAAACCGCUUUCAGCAGGGGCGAAGCUUGUGGUGACGGUACCUGCAGAAGAAGCACCGGCUAACUACGUG